AUGGCGUUCCCGGCGUGCGUGCAGUGCGGGACCAGGGAGAACCCGUGCCGGUGCAAGUUCAUCGGGCCGACGCUGGGGUUCGUGGCCUUCCUUGUCACCGGCGUCAUAGAGUGGCCGGUGGGCGCGGUGGUGUACCUGUUCCGCCACCGCAAGGGCCGCCGCAUCAUGGGACACCCCUCCAGGGUCGUCUACCCGCGCGUCUCCAGGGCCAUCCCCAUCUAA
rnacentral:rRNA from 1 species